GACGCACCCCCGGUUGUGACUCCCACCCGCAGCCCUGACGCACUUCCCCGGCGCCAGGUCGAGCGGAUGGGGAUCAGAGCCGGGGGAGCCCCUCGG
rfam:Microbacterium sp. Root53 contig_4, whole genome shotgun sequence.